rnacentral:rRNA from 1 species
AGUGAACGCUGGCGGUAGGCCUAACACAUGCAAGUCUAACGGCAGCACAGUAAGAGCUUGCUCUUACGGGUGGCGAGUGGCGGACGGGUGAGGAAUACAUCGGAAUCUACUUUUUCGUGGGGGGUAACGUAGGGAAACUUACGCUAAUACCGCAUACGACCUACGGGUGAAAGCAGGGGAUCUUCGGACCUUGCGCGAUUGAAUGAGCCGAUGUCGGAUUAGCUAGUUGGCGGGGUAAAGGCCCACCAAGGCGACGAUCCGUAGCUGGUCUGAGAGGAUGAUCAGCCACACUGGAACUGAGACACGGUCCAGACUCCUACGGGAGGCAGCAGUGGGGAAUAUUGGACAAUGGGCGCAAGCCUGAUCCAGCCAUACCGCGUGGGUGAAGAAGGCCUUCGGGUUGUAAAGCCCUUUUGUUGGGAAAGAAAAGCAGCAGGUUAAUACCCCGCUGUUCUGACGGUACCCAAAGAAUAAGCACCGGCUAACUUCGU